GUUGGCUCGACUACACUCAUCACCCUGUGACAUACCUAAAACGUUGCUUCGGCGGGAACAGACGGCCCUGUAACAACGGGCCGCCCCCGCCAGAGGACCCCUAACUCUGUUUUUAUAAUGUUUUUCUGAGUAAACAAGCAAAUAAAUUAAAACUUUCAACAACGGAUCUCUUGGCUCUGGCAUCGAUGAAGAACGCAGCGAAAUGCGAUAAGUAAUGUGAAUUGCAGAAUUCAGUGAAUCAUCGAAUCUUUGAACGCACAUUGCGCCCGCCAGUAUUCUGGCGGGCAUGCCUGUUCGAGCGUCAUUACAACCCUCAGGCCCCCGGGCCUGGCGUUGGGGAUCGGCGGAAGCCCCCUGUGGGCACACGCCGUCCCUCAAAUACAGUGGCGGUCCCGCCGCAGCUUCCAUUGCGUAGUAGCUAACACCUCGCAACUGGAGAGCGGCGCGGCCAUGCCGUAAAACACCCAACUUCUGAAUGUUGACCUCGAAUCAGGUAGGAAUACCCGCUGAACUUAAGCAUAUCAAAACCGGGGAAGAAAA
rnacentral:rRNA from 1 species